CUAGGUUUUUCACGUGUGAUAUUUUAUCAUUUGAAAUAAUAGAGUUUGUGUUUGCAUUACAAAAGAGGAUUUUGCAAUAUUUACAGGACGUAUAGAUAGCGAACCCGGCUGCAGCCUACUGAUAAUGCUGCAAUAUGGAAAUUCGCUUAUUGCCUGUUGUGGGCAGACAAGCAAAAUGCGCAUGCGUGAGGGGCAAACAUUAAUGUUUCCCAGCAGAGGUUUCCCAGUAUCCUUCAUGUCUCCCGAAGGUAGGCAAACCAUGUGUUGGCCGAAAAUGGCAAAACAGAAAAAUGCUUUUCCUGGCCAUGUUUUCCGAAGAUAGACAAAACAGAAAAGGAAAUUAAAUAUUGUUUCCUAGCCAUGUUUUCCGAAUGUGGACAACAGGAAACAGAUUGUUUCGUAAUCGUAUUAUUUUGUGUUUUGCUCAGGAAUUAUUUUUGAGUUCAAGAACUAAAGGUUAUAUCAUUUUUAGACCAGAUUCCGGCACGCUCAUAAAACUAUCUUGUGCUUCUAGCUUUUCAUUCACCGUCCAAUUUUUUUUUUUUUUUGGGGGGGGCGUGUUUAUUUGAAAAGUUUUUCCUUGUUCCCAAAAAGAUUUCCACCCCCCCCUGGG